ensembl:lncRNA
ACCAAAAUGUGAAACGGAAAAUUCAUUUUUUUUUUUUUAAAGGAAAAUUAUUGGGCCUACUACUGUAUGUGAGUUAGUAUAGAAAGGAUAAGUGUGUGUGUGUGUGUGUGUGUGUGUGUGUGUGUGUGUGUGUGUGUGUGUGUGUGUGUGCAUACUUCCUGUGUGUGUGUGUGUGUGUGUGUGUGUGUGCAUACUUCCUGUGUGUGUGUGUGUGUGUGUGUGCAUACUUCCUGUGUGUGUGUGUGUGUGAGUAUGUGAGUUAGUAUAUAAUGGAUAAGUAUGUGAGUUAGUCAAUAUAGUUAAUCAGUAUUGGACAUUCCAAAUAAAUGAAUCAAAUGUGUGAUAUUUCCUCUCUCUGGACUGUGUGUGUGUGUGUGUGUGUGUGUGUGAUAUUUCCUCUCUCUGGGCAGAUACGGGAUGACACUGUAAGCCUUAUCGCUCACCAGCUCUCAUGCCCCGCCUCCGCCAGCAGCCAAUCGGAUCUCAGCCUCCCCCGCCAUGCGUCCGCCAGCAGCCAAUCGGAUCUCAGCCUCCCCCGCCAUGCGUCCGCCAGCAGCCAAUCGGAUCUCAGCCUUCCGCAUUAUGCCUCCAACAGCAGCCAAUCAGAUCUGAGCCAAUCAGAUCUGAGCCAGCUGAUUGGUCAACUGUCCAGUCACUCAUCUCAGUCUGCCUCUGAUGGGCGGGGCUUGUCAGACUCGGCCUGUCGUCGGAUUGGUCAGGACAGCAGGGAGGAGCCCAGGGGGAGACACGUGAUUGGCCAGACAUCUGGGCAGGUGGCAGGUUAUUGGCUGGCAGAGGGGCGGGACUCUGGAACAAGCGUGCUGAUUGGUCGGGGCCCUACGCUACAGCCUGUACUGCCAGAUGACCUGCAGCAGAGUUUAGAUUCCUUCCAUCCGUUGGAGGCGGAGCUAACCCAUGGCCACCUAAGUGUUGAUUCAGAAGAUGGCCCCUCCCCUCUGAGAGCAGACCACGCCCACCUAUCCCAGCAGGCUGUGCAGGAUUCACUCUUCCAGUCGGCCGUGUCACUCGACCUCUUGCCACUGUCUGACUCCAGUCUCCAUGACGACCGCAGUCCCCAUGACGACCGCAGUCUCCCUGCCAGCCCCGCCCACACAAGGCAUCUCAUCAGCCAAUCGGAGGAGGAGCUGACCGCCAACAUGACGCUCUGGGAGCGGAUAAUGGUCCCGGUCAGUGGGCGGGGCAUCUUAGAAGAGUCGAUGCUCUCAUUGGUCAGUGAGAGUGAUGUCACAGUGCAGAGCAGCUUCCAUGGUAACGAGACGGAUGAAGGACGAGAGACCCCACACACACCCCCCCGACACACACAACCCCAACACACACACACCCAACCCCCACACACACACACCCAACACACACCCCCCCAACACACACAACCCCAACACACACACACACACCCCCAACACACACAACCCCCACACACACCCCCCCAACACACACAGGAAGCACUCGGACAAGAGGAGGUGGACACACACAUCUCACACACACACCUGCCGGAGGGACAGGACGAGGGGUUUGACACACACUCACUGGAGAAACAAAAUGGAGGAGAAAAAGAAAUCACACAGGUGAGACCAACACACACACACACACACACACACCAACACACACUCACCUACACGCAUUCACCUACACACACACACACACACGCACACAAACAAACACAAACAAGCACCAUCUAA